GACGAACGCUGGCGGCGUGCUUAACACAUGCAAGUCGAACGGAAAGGCCCUGCUUUUGUUGCUUUCUCGAGUGGCGAACGGGUGAGUAACACGUGAGUAACCUGCCCUUGACUUUGUGAUAACUUCAGGAAACUGGGGCUAAUACCCGAUAUGAUCUCCUGCUGCAUGGUGGGGGUUGGAAAGUUUCGGCUGUUGGGGAUGGACUCGCGGCUUAUCAGCUUGUUUGUGAGGUAGUUGCUGACCAAGGCUUUGACGGGUAGCCGGCCUGAGAGGGUGAACGGGGACAAUGGGACUGAGAUACGGCGCAGACGCCUAAGGGAGGCAGUAGGGGGGAAUAUGGCACAAUGGGCGGAAGCCAGAUGCAGCAACGCUGGGUGCGGGAUGACGGCCUUCGGGGGGUAAACCGAUUUCGCCUGUGACGAAGAGUGAGUGACGGUAAUGGGUAAAGAAGCAACGGCUAACUACGUG
rnacentral:rRNA from 1 species